rnacentral:rRNA from 1 species
UACGUAGGUGGCAAGCGUUGUCCGGAUUUACUGGGCGUAAAGAGCGCGCAGGCGGUCAGAUAAGUCGAAUGUGAAAGCCCCCGGCUCAACUGGGGAGGGUCAUUCGAUACUGCUCGACUUGAAGGCAGGAGAGGGCAGCAGAAUUCCCGGUGUAGUGGUGAAAUGCGUAGAUAUCGGGAGGAAUACCAGUGGCGAAGGCGGCUGCCUGGCCUGUUCUUGACGCUGAGGCGCGAAAGCUGGGGGAGCAAACGGG